UACGGGGGGGGCAAGCGUUGUUCGGAAUUACUGGGCGUAAAGGGCUCGUAGGUGGCCAACUAAGUCAGACGUGAAAUCCCCAGGCUCAACUUGGGAACUGCGUCUGAUACUGGAUGGCUUGAAUUCGGGAGAGGGAUGCAGAAUUCCAGGUGUAGCGGUGAAAUGCGUAGAUAUCUGGAGGAACACCGGUGGCGAAGGCGGCGUUCUGGACUGCAACUGACACUGAAAAACGAAAGCCAGGGGAGCAAACGGG
rnacentral:rRNA from 1 species